rnacentral:rRNA from 1 species
GAUGAACGCUGGCGGCGUGCCUAAUACAUGCCAGUCGAGCGGACAGACGAGGAUCUUGCUGCUUGCACGUUAGCCGCGGACGGGUGAGUAACGCGUGUAUCACCUCCCUGAAUGUCGGGUAUCACUACGAAAAACGGGCGCAUAUCCCAUAGGAUAUAUUGCAGCGCAGUGUUCGUUGGUAAGAGUCGGCGGUUGUGGCUGGAAUCGCAGGUUAUGCGCUUGUUUGUGUGGUAGUGGCGGACGAAGGCUUCGACGGGUAGCCGGCCUGGGAGGGUGGACGGCGACAUGGGGCCUAAGAGACGGCCCAGAAGGCUACGUGAGGCAGCAGGGGGGAACAUUGCGCAAUGGGCGGGAGCCUGAUGCAGCGACGCCGCGAGCGGGAUGACGGCCUUCGGGUGGUAAACCGCUUUCGCCUGUGACGAAGCGUGAGUGACGGUAAUGGGUAAGGAAGCACCGGCUAACUACGUG